GCUGGCACAAAAGUGUUACAAUGUCUCGAAAAUUGUUCGAUUGUUCGAUUUCCUCCCGAAUCUUUCAGUUCCAGUUGCGGUUUUGGGGCUGCACGCACGCGAGCGUGCCCCCAGCUGGGUGCAUACCAGCCAAAAACUGUGCCAAAUUGUGCCCCAAUUGGUGCAGCAGCCGAAGCAGCGGCGGUGGCAACAGGUUUACGAGUGUAUCGGACAAAUUCGAGCAGUGAUCUUGCCUCCGACUUGGACUCCGACUCGGACCCGGACCCGGACCCGAUCUCCCCUGGCCAUGUGUACGGAAGAUGACUGCAAGAGGCGAAAGCAUGAGCGUUACUCGGGCGACACGUGGCACGUGGCAAGCAGCAGCUGACUGACUGAAACCGAAACCGAAACUGAAACCGAACGAAGAGGCAGGCCCCCCAAAAUAUCGCCCCCGCCCCCCCCACGGUUCAGGGGAGGAACCACCGAAAUACGGGACGGGCCAGAGGCAGGAAAUCCACCGCCCCCGCCCCCUCCCCCCGAAGACUGUUACUUUCAGCUGGGGCAAAACUGUUUACGAUUUACGAUGCCCCGAGAGUCCGGAGAGCUCUCUCUCUCUCUCUGCCACACUCUGCUGUGUCCGUGCCACGUUUCGCCGUGUGUUGUUUUUGUGGGAAAAAUCGUUAGGCAGCAAUAAAAACAACCAAAAACUGCACGGAAUCGCUUGGUUAGACGGAAAGCCACGUGAAAAAUGCCGGAAACAGAAAUCGAUUUGCAGGCAGGAAAAACCCCCAUGGGCAGGGGGCAGGGGGCAGGGAGGUGUUAUGUGUGGUCCGAUGUGCUUUAAUCUUUUGGUUUCCGUUCUCGAACGAAAAGUCCGGAGCAAUUAUGUCACACGCGCGGCGCUCGAAAGUAGGCAACGAUUACGGGUGCGUUUUCGGGUCCAUUCCGACACUUUUUUGAAGGGCAAAACUAUGGUUCGACUUUUGAUGGGUUUCCUGCUCCUCGCUGCGUAUUACCCUU
rnacentral:misc_RNA from 1 species